UUCCAAUGAUAAACCUAAAACUUGGUAGGUGUGGUAUGAAUAUCAGAUCACAGAUCUGAAAGUGCCAUGCAUAUGAAUUGUAGGUAAACACCUAACAAUAACAAACACUGGUCUGACUUGCAGUUGCUCUAUUAUUUUCAAGAUGAGGGGAACACGUUUCCCUCGGCAAUUGGCGACCCGGUUAUAUCACCAUCCCUAGCUUAUAUCUUUUCGCCACGUAUUGCCGCCCCAAAAGAGAAGGAAUACGUACUCUCAAGCCUAUAAAUCAAAGCUACAGGAUAACCCUCUAUAUAUACAUUUCAGAGUUGAUCGCAGCAAAAUCUAAACUAAUCAGAAUCAUUUGUGAUAUUGUAAAAUGCCAGACCAUCCACCACCACCACACGGCCACGGUCACCCGCCACCUCCAGGUCCGGGGCACCACGAGCCUCCUCCUCCGGGGCCUCAUGCACCCCCUCCGCCGGGACCUCAUCCACCUCCUCCGGGACCCCAUCCACCCCCUCCGGGACCCCAUGCCCCUCCUCCCGGCGGCCCUCCUCAUGAUCCACACAAGCCACAUGACCCGCACCACGGUCACCACCACCCAUGAACCUAACUACCCAUGAGGCCAUGAAGCUAGUCAGCUAGCUGUGAUCUAUAUAUCUAUGUGUUUGUAAUGUGAUGUAGCUAGCUUGUAGUUCUAAGUUGCUGGGUUUACUGGCUCUGCUCCUUCGAUCUCAUCUGUCGGGCACUGAUUAUAUUCAUGUAAUGACUACGAUAUGAUGACUAUGUACCCAAAAGAAGGCUGAUCAUUUAUGUAAAAUAAGAAGAGUACUAGCUUUAAUUUGUGGUUUAUGUAUCAUCAUGAGCUUUGUGUAAAUCUUCUUCUAUUAUUCUUCCACGAUGGUUAAAAAGUGAUGGUUAAAAUUCCCCAUUAGAAAUCAGAAAAUUGUCAGUUAAUAACCAAUGUCCCCAAUUUUAUCAAAUUUUUAUUACGAUUUCAUAAAGAAAAAGAGAGCAAGAUUAAAGUAGGCUCUAAGUAUGCCCUAUUCUGUAAAAUUUCAACAGAUUGAUCUCCUAGAUGCAUUUGUGAGCUUCUGUUUGUAACUUCUCUUCUGUCAAAUCCUCCUUAUCCUCCAUAUACGAACUCAUGGCUCCCACCUUGACGAAGACGAGCAUUAAUUCUGGCAUUGCCGCACUAACAAAACUCACGUACUUUGUUCUUAUCCCCUUUUCCUUUCCGAUAGUAACUCAGCAAGAGUUCAAUUAUUCACAAUUGCAGCAACUAGUUUCUGUAAUCCAGCAAAGUUAAAGUUGCUCUGGCCCAAAAAAGAAAAAAGAGAAAGUUGGAGUUCCAUACUGCCCUAGUGCCCUGGUUUACACACUGUUAUUGAUCUUGUGGUUCUUAUAAUGCAUGAAGCAUCACCACACAAAAAUUCAGAAGACAAAAACAAAACAAGUACUGUGCCUGAUAUGUACACAUGCUUGCUUUCAUUGUUUAUAUUAAAUUAAUAUCCUGAGCUACCAUUCUGCCAAAAUAAGCUAACUAAGUUUAUCCUUAUAUGGAUAUUAUGUGAAUUGGAAUUAAUUUUAUAUUUGAUUCUUUUAUAUUAUGUGGCACCAAUUACGACGAAGCAUGUGCCAUUCUGAAGAUAAUGUCUACAUUUCUUAAUUUAGAGCCCUUUACCGACACACCAUUUCCUAUAAAAUCUUCUCCUACCUAGCUUAACUCUUCAACAGUUCGCCACAUCAAGAACAAGUCUCUUCAAGUCUUUAACAAGUCAGUCUCAGCAAGAAUUCGAAGAUGCAUCACGGUGACCAUCACGGCGGACCCCCACACCACGGAGGAGGUCCGGGAGGUCCGGGAGGUCCGCCUCACGGAGGUCCACCCGGAGGAGGACCGCCUCAUGGAGGUCCACCCGGAGGCGGCCCUCACCAUGAUCAGGGUCAUGGCGGCCCAGGUCAUCAAGGAGGACCAGGAGGAGGAGGCCACGGAGGACCAGGCGGAGGAGGCCACGGAGGACCAGGCGGUCAUGGUGGACCGGGUGAUCACGGCCAUGGAGGAGGAGGACAAGGCGGUCAUGGCGGACCGGGCGGCCAUGGAGGAGGACAUGGUGGUCGCUGAUCAUGGAGCUAGACUACGUACUACUAAUGGUGUACUAGCUAGGUGAAUAAGUCGAUCUCUGUGUGACUUUGUGGUAUCGAUUGUUUGUGUUAUCAUUUUCCUAGUUGGGUCGAUGAGAUCGUAGCUAUUGGAGCUAGGGGAGUCGACCUUCUGUUUUAAGUCUCUAAUUGUGCAUGGAUGUGUAAUAAAAAAACCCUACUAGUUAUGGAUUUGAUUUGUCUCUUAGGCUCAA